rnacentral:lncRNA from 1 species
CUCAUCCUUCUCUGUUACAGACUGCACAGACUGAAGCACAGCCAAAGGGGUGAAAUGCAGAGCAUGAAGCUGACACAGAGCUAUUCUGCACCAAGAGGUCAAGUGGACAUAGAGUGACAGCCACAUGGUGCUUUGGUGCCAUGCAGGGCCUGGAGGGAAGAGGUCACACAACCCAGACUGGUCAAUCACAGGCCUUGAAAAACAGGAAAUCAGCUGAGUAUUAUCCCUAUGAGACACAUGUGCAGUGCUUGGUUCACAGCUCUUUCACUGCAGAAGAGGCAAGAAGUGUGCCUUAGAGGUGAUGUCCAGAGUUACAGAUCAAUUAACCUUGGAUGGCAGCACAUAUGGCAGUCUCCAAGCACCUCAGGUCAUCGUUUACUGUGUUGGCAUGACAGGAAGCUGACACAAAGUGUGAUCACAAUUUGUAUACAGCUAGCAGGUGUAGAUUGUGUCAAGACAAAGACCCACCCCAUUCACUAA